rnacentral:rRNA from 1 species
AAUCUUGCACAAUGGAGGGAACUCUGAUGCAGCGACGUCGCGUGAACGAUGAAGGCUUUCGAGUCGUAAAGUUCUGUCCUAUGGGACGAUAAUGACGGUGCCAUAGGAGGAAGCGCCGGCUAACUACGUGCCCGCAGCCGCGGUAAUACGUAGGGGGCGAACGUUGUCCGGAAUUAUUGGGGGUAAAGGGGACGCAUGCGGUCAUGUAAGUCGAAUGUAAAAUCCUAGGGCUUAACCCUAGUUAGCAUUUGAAACUGUAUGGCUUGAGUUAAGGAGAGGAAAGUGGAAUUCCUGGUGUAGCGGUGAAAUGCGUAGAUAUCAGGAGGAAUACCAGUGGCGAAGGCGACUUUCUGGACUUAUACUGACGCUGAGGUACGAAAGCGUGGGGAGCAAACA